GAAAGCAGGUCAUAGUGAUCCGGUGGUUGUGAAUGGUAGGGCCAUCGCUCAACGGAUAAAUGGUACUCCGGGGAUAACAGGCUGAUACCGCCCAAGAGUUCAUAUCGACGGCGGGGUUUGGCACCUCGAUGUCGGCUCAUCACAUCCUGGGGCUGAAGUAGGUCCCAAGGGUAUGGCUGUUCGCCAUAUAAAGUGGUACGCGAGCUGGGUUUAGAACGUCGUGAGACAG
rnacentral:rRNA from 1 species